rnacentral:rRNA from 1 species
GACGAACGCUGGCGGCGUGCUUAACACAUGCAAGUCGAGCGGUAAGGCCCUUUCGGGGGUACACGAGCGGCGAACGGGUGAGUAACACGUGGGUGACCUGCCCUCAGCUCUGGGAUAAGCCUGGGAAACUGGGUCUAAUACCGGAUAUGACUUCGCAUCGCAUGGUGUGGUGUGGAAAGUUUUUCGGCUGGGGAUGGGCCCGCGGCCUAUCAGCUUGUUGGUGGGGUGAUGGCCACCAAGGCGACGACGGGUAGCCGGCCUGAGAGGGCGACCGGCCACACUGGGACUGAGACACGGCCCAGACUCCUACGGGAGGCAGCAGUGGGGAAUAUUGCGCAAUGGGCGAAAGCCUGACGCAGCGACGCCGCGUGGGUGAUGAAGGCC